rnacentral:rRNA from 1 species
AGGAUCUAUGUUUUUCACAUCACACACUGUCGUAUGUCUAUAGAAUGUAUUGAAGACCGUCGCAGUGCGUGACGGUCGAUAAUAAUAAAUCAUACAACUUUCAGCAACGGAUCUCUUGGCUCUCGCAUCGAUGAAGAACGCAGCGAAUUGCGAUAAGUAAUGUGAAUUGCAGAUUUUCAGUGAAUCAUCGAAUCUUUGAACGCACCUUGCGCUCCUUGGUAUUCCGAGGAGCAUGCCUGUUUGAGUGUCAUU